CCCGCUGAACUUAAGCAUAUCAAUAGGCGGAGGAAAAGAAACUAACAAGGAUUCCCCUAGUAACUGCGAGUGAAGCGGGAAAAGCUCAAAUUUAAAAUCUGAGGGUCUUUAUGGCCUUCCGAGUUGUAAUCUAGAGAAGUGCUAUCCGCGCUGGACCGCGUACAAGUCUCCUGGAACGGAGCGUCAUAGAGGGUGAGAAUCCCGUCUUUGACACGGACUACCAGGGCUUAUGUGAUACGCUCUCAAAGAGUCGAGUUGUUUGGGAAUGCAGCUCUAAAUGGGUGGUAAAUUCCAUCUAAAGCUAAAUAUUGGCGAGAGACCGAUAGCGAACAAGUACCGUGAGGGAAAGAUGAAAAGAACUUUGGAAAGAGAGUUAAAAAGUACGUGAAAUUGUUGAAAGGGAAACGCUUGAAGUCAGUCGCAUUGGCCAGGGAUCAACCUUGCUUUUGCUUGGUGUAUUUUCUGGUUAAUGGGUCAGCAUCAAUUUUGAUCGGUGGAAAAAGAUCAAGGGAAUGUGGCAUCUUCGGAUGUGUUAUAGCCCUUGGUUGUAUACAUCGAUUGGGAUUGAGGAGCUCAGCACGCCGCAAGGCCGGGUUUUUAACCACGUACGUGCUUAGGAUGCUGGCAUAAUGGCUUUAAUCGACCCGUCUUGAAACACGG
rnacentral:rRNA from 1 species